CCCUGUCUUGAUUGUCUUUCGUGUCCAGCCUCCAGGACCUGCCUUCCUGCCGUCAGGGUCUGAAAUCCAGGAGCAAGUGAAUGGGUAUCACUGUAUGCUCCAUGUGCUCCAUGUCUUUCUAUUUGAUGCUCCUGACAACACUGUGAAUGAAAUGUGCGGAUGAGGAAAUAGACUCUGGAGUUGUUAGUAGGAUUCAGGCCAGCUCUUUCUAACUCCAAGGUUUUAAUCGUUCAAGUUCAUUCCAAUACAAAUCGCCCUGGCUACUAGCGCCCUGUCCUAGGCUGAGCACAGCCAGAAACAGAGAGAGAGAGAGAGAGAGAGAGAGAGAGAGAGAGAGAGAGAGAGAGAGAGAGAGAGAGGAGAAACAUUGAUUGGUUGCCUCCCAUAUGUGUCCCGAUCGGAUGGAACCUACAACUAAGUAUGUUCCCUGACUAGGAAUCGAACCUGCAACUGUUUGGGGUUACUGGAUGACGCUCCAACCAACCAAGCCACCCAGCCAGGGUGGAAAUUGGUUUCUUUUCUAAGAAAUAAAGUGGUCUCUGGCGUUUGGACUAGUGGGCCACCAUUUUGCUGAUUUUUUUGUUCUUAAAAGGCAGUAGAGGAAGGCUCCCUCCUCAUUCAACCACACUUGUCAUACCCCCUUCCCCCCUGCGUGGCUGUUAACCUGUCUUCAGGUCUCUUGCCUCCUGAACAUAAUUAAACUCUGUUGUUAAACGAGGAACAUCUUGGAGGCUGGAGGCUUUGGCCUCUGACAAUCACUGUGAUGAUGCUGGAGAAGCGGGUUUCCCCAGCCCGGCUCCACCUGGGCAGAAAUAGAAGGUGCAAAUUUAGCCUAGCCAGGCCUCUGAGCGAAGCCAGUUUGAUUGAUGUCUGGGAACCAAAAUGACACCUCCUUUGAACUAAAUGGAUGCUAAUAAAAUGGAGUUCGCAACC